AGAGGGUGCAAGCGUUAAUCGGAAUUACUGGGCGUAAAGCGCGCGUAGGUGGGUGUUUAAGUCGGAUGUGAAAGCCCCAGGCUCAACCUGGGAACUGCAUUCGAUACUGAAUGCCUAGAGUAUGGUAGAGGAAAGUGGAAUUCCCGGUGUAGCGGUGAAAUGCGUAGAUAUCGGGAGGAACAUCAGUGGCGAAGGCGACUUUCUGGACUAAUACUGACACUGAGGUGCGAAAGCGUGGGGUAGCAAACAGGAUUAGAGACCCUGGUAGUCCACGCCGUAAACGAUGAGAACUAGAUGUUGGGAAGUUUACUUCUUAGUAUCGUAGCUAACGCGUUAAGUUCUCGCCUGGGGAGUACGGCCGCAAGGCUA
rnacentral:rRNA from 1 species